CGCGUAAUUUGACCGUGCGAAGGUAGCAUAAUCAAUAGCCUCUUAAUUGGAGGCUGGAAUGAAUGGUUGAACAAAAGGAAAGCUGUCUUACUGGUAUAAAUUAAACUUUACUUUUAAGUGAAAAGGCUUAAAUGAACUGAAGGGACGAUAAGACCCUAUAAAACUUUACAGGUGAACUUUAAUUUUUAAAUUUAUAUUAAAUAGAAUUAAACAUAGCUUGUUGGGCUGGGGCGGCUUUAAUAAAUUAUUAACUGUUUUGAAAAUUAAAUAUUUAUAAAUAGAUUAUUGAUCCUUUUUUAAGGAUUAGAAGUAUAAGUUACUUUAGGGAUAACAGCGUGAUUUUUCUUGAGAGUUCUUAUCGACAGAAUUAGUUGCGACCUCGAUGUUGAAUUAAGGGUUACUUAAAUAAGUAGAAGU
rnacentral:rRNA from 1 species